ACGGGGAGCAGCAGGCGCGAAACCUUUACACUGCACGCCAGUGCGAUAAGGGGACCCCGAGUGAAAGGGCAUAUCGCCCUUUCUUUUCUGAACCGUAGGGAGGUUCAGGAACAAGAGCUGGGCAAGACCGGUGCCAGCCGCCGCGGUAAUACCGGCAGCUCAAGUGAUGACCGAUUUUAUUGGGCCUAAAGCGUCCGUAGCUGGCCGCGCAAGUCUGUCGGGAAAUCCACCCGCUCAACGGGUGGGCGUCCGGCGGAAACUGUGCGGCUUGGGACAGGAAGGCUCGAGGGGUACGUUCGGGGUAGGAGUGAAAUCCUGUAAUCCUGAACGGACCACCGAUGGCGAAAGCACCUCGAGAGGACUGAUCCGACAGUGAGGGACGAAAGCUGGGGUCUCGAACCGGAUUAGAUACCCGGGUAGUCCCAGCCGUAAACGAUGUUCGCUAGGUGUGACACUCACUACGAAUGAGUGUUGUGCCGCAGGGAAGCCGCUAAGCGAACCGCCUGGGAAGUACGUCCGCAAGGAUGAAACUUAAAGGAAUUGGCGGGGGAGCAC
rnacentral:rRNA from 1 species